GGUAGGUAAACAUUAGCAGCAAAUACGGCUCCAUAACAAGUUCACAUAACUGAACCGACAUGUCUUGGUGCAAAACUCUUGGUAAAACUAGGGAUAUAAGAUGAUAACAGCACAGGUAAAUAAGCCAUUCAACAGUCGAAUGGUGGCACCACGCCAAGCAGCUUGACAUAUCAACGAGCUUGGCAGCCGAAGACAUGGAUCACUGCGACACGCCAUCACCAUGAUCGCCCAUCUCCUUCGCCUACUUAGAUCUCUGCCUCAUCUUUCGGCG
rnacentral:misc_RNA from 1 species